CCCGAAGUGUAGCAAUUGGUCUUUUUGGGGGCUUAAAAUAAAUUUUUUUGCUCUCACUGGUCCUUGGUGUGUUCUUUCUUUCUUGACAGGUGUUAUUUGGGAGUAGAGCUUCUCAAGUCUGGCAGUGAAGGAAGUGAAACCACCCUCAAAACCCUUUAGCAUCACACAGAUGCUAUUAUGUGCUGCUCUUUAAAGGCAUUGCCAGUUUUCACCUUUGCUAACCAGGCUGGUCUUGACAUGCUUGAGACAACCUUGGUCGCCCUUCAAGACAUUACUUUGGAGAAGAUAUUUGAUGA